rnacentral:rRNA from 1 species
CCGUAAUAUCCGUAGGUGAACCUGCGGANNAUCAUUAAUGAAAUGUGAACAUCGUGAAGGGUUGUUGCUGGCNUCCUUUAGAGGUAUGUGCACGCCUGGAUCGUUCAUCCUCCCUUUCUUACACCUGUGCACAACCUGUAGCUUGGGAUGAUCACGGAGUGUGCUGCUUUUGUAGUCACCUCGAAUGCCCUCGCUAUGAACGCUUUUAUAUACACCUUUAUAAAGUCUUGUAGAAUGUUGAUAAGCGUGUAACAGCGCGAAAAUAAUACAACUUUCAGCAACGGAUCUCUUGGCUCUCGCAUCGAUGAAGAACGCAGCGAAAUGCGAUAAGUAAUGUGAAUUGCAGAAUUCAGUGAAUCAUCGAAUCUUUGAACGCACCUUGCGCUCCUUGGUAUUCCGAGGAGCAUGCCUGUUUGAGUGUCAUGAAGUUCUCAACUGCUUUGACUUUAUUGUUGAAGUGAAGUUGGAUUUGGAGGAUCUUUGCUGGCGCGAGCUUGUGUGCAGAUUGCAUGCUUGCUUGCUUGUCGGCUCCUCUUAAAAUUAUGAAACCUUUCCAGUAGAUCUUGGCGAAAAGAGUAUCUUCGACGUGAUAACUAUCUGCGUCGUUGAGAAAGCUUAAGAGCANNGCCUUUCAAAGGC